rnacentral:rRNA from 1 species
AUUGAACGCUGGCGGCAGGCCUAACACAUGCAAGUCGAACGGUAACACGAAGCAGCUUUCUGCUUCGCUGACGAGUGGCGGACGGGUGAGUAAUGUCUGGGAAGCUGCCUGAUGGAGGGGGAUAACUACUGGAAACGGUAGCUAAUACCGCAUAAUGUCGCAAGACCAAAGAGGGGGACCUUCGGGCCUCUUGCCAUCGGAUGUGCCCAGAUGGGAUUAGCUUGUUGGUGGGGUAACGGCUCACCAGGGCGACGAUCCCUAGCUGGUCUGAGAGGAUGACCAGCCACACUGGAACUGAGACACGGUCCAGACUACUACGGGAGGCAGCAGUGGGGAAUAUUGCACAAUGGGCGCAAGCCUGAUGCAGCAAUGCCGCGUGUAUGAAGAAGGCCUUCGGGUUGUAAAGUACUUUCAGCGGGGAGGAAGGGAGUAAAGUUAAUACCUUUGCUCAUUGACGGUACCCGAAGAAGAAGCACCGGCUAACUCCGUG